GCAGCCUUAGCUCAGUAGGCAGAGCACCAGACUCUUAAUCUGGGAGUCGUGGGUUCGAUCCCCACAGGCUGUACCA
rnacentral:tRNA from 1 species